rnacentral:rRNA from 1 species
UACGGGGGGGGCAAGCGUUGUUCGGAAUUACUGGGCGUAAAGGGCUCGUAGGCGGCCAACUAAGUCAGACGUGAAAUCCCCAGGCUUAACCUGGGAACUGCGUCUGAUACUGGAUGGCUUGAAUUCGGGAGAGGGAUGCAGAAUUCCAGGUGUAGCGGUGAAAUGCGUAGAUAUCUGGAGGAACACCCAGGGAGAAAUCAGCCGCCUGGGCAAGUGCUGACGCUGAGGUGCGAAAGCGUGGGGAGCGAACCGG